AUUGAACGCUGGCGGUAUGCUUUACACAUGCAAGUCGAGGGGUAGAGGUUGCUUGCAACCUUGAGACCGGCGCACGGGUGCGUAACGCGUAUGCAACCUACCUUUUACAGAGGGAUAGCCCAGAGAAAUUUGGAUUAAUACCUCAUAGUAUAUAACCUUCGCAUGUUGGUUAUAUUAAAGUUCCAACGGUAAAAGAUGGGCAUGCGUCCUAUUAGCUAGAUGGUAAGGUAACGGCUUACCAUGGCAACGAUAGGUAGGGGUCCUGAGAGGGAGAUCCCCCACACUGGUACUGAGACACGGACCAGACUCCUACGGGAGGCAGCAGUGAGGAAUAUUGGUCAAUGGACGCAAGUCUGAACCAGCCAUGCCGCGUGCAGGAAGACGGUCCUCUGGAUUGUAAACUGCUUUUGUUAGGGAAGAAACCCUCGGAUGCGUUCGAGGCUGACGGUACCUAAAGAAUAAGGAUCGGCUAACUCCGUGCCAGCAGCCGCCGCCG
rnacentral:rRNA from 1 species